GACGAACGCUGGCGGCGUGCCUAACACAUGCAAGUCGAGCGAGUGAAUCUCCUUCGGGAGUGAAGCUAGCGGCGGACGGGUGAGUAACACGUGGGCAACCUGCCUCAUAGAGGGGAAUAGCCUUUCGAAAGGAAGAUUAAUACCGCAUAAGAUUGUAGCUUCGCAUGAAGUAGCAAUUAAAGGAGCAUUCCGCUAUGAGAUGGGCCCGCGGCGCAUUAGCUAGUUGGUGAGGUAACGGCUCACCAAGGCGACGAUGCGUAGCCGACCUGAGAGGGUGAUCGGCCACAUUGGGACUGAGACACGGCCCAGACUCCUACGGGAGGCAGCAGUGGGGAAUAUUGCACAAUGGGGGAAACCCUGAUGCAGCAACGCCGCGUGAGUGAUGACGGCCUUCGGGUUGUAAAGCUCUGUCUUCAGGGACGAUAAUGACGGUACCUGAGGAGGAAGCCACGGCUAACUACGUGCCAGCAGCCGCCGUAA
rnacentral:rRNA from 1 species